GAUGAAUGCUAGCUACAGGCUUAACACAUGCAAGUCGCGGGGCAGCAUGGGGGUUGCUUGCAAUCCCCGAUGGCGACCGGCGCACGGGUGAGUAACGCGUAUCCAACCUGCCCUUCACCACGGGAUAACCCGGCGAAAGUCGGACUAAUACCGUAUGUUGUCCAUUGACGGCAUCCGAUUUGGACGAAAGGCUUGGCGGUGAGGGAUGGGGAUGCGUCCGAUUAGCCAGACGGCGGGGUAACGGCCCACCGUGGCUACGAUCGGUAGGGGUUCUGAGAGGAAGGUCCCCCACACUGGAACUGAGACACGGUCCAGACUCCUACGGGAGGCAGCAGUGAGGAAUAUUGGUCAAUGGGCGUAAGCCUGAACCAGCCAAGUAGCGUGCAGGAUGACGGCCCUAUGGGUUGUAAACUGCUUUUAUGCGGGGAUAAAGUGGCCCACGUGUGGGCUUUUGCAGGUACCGCAUGAAUAAGGACCGGCUAAUUCCGUG
rnacentral:rRNA from 1 species